rnacentral:lncRNA from 13 species
CUGUGUAAGAGGAAGGGCUGCGAGGGCUCCCCAACGUGGACUAAGAUCAAUCCUAAAGCUUUGGGUUACCAGAUCAGUACGAAUGGAAGUGUUGCCAACAACCCCUGUACAACACUGGGGAUCCAAUGCGACGUCGUCUCAGAUCAGUUAGUGGGCUAUAAGGUGGUGACUGGUCUGCUGUGUGUUCUGGUGCUGGUGGUGCUGAUGGUGCGUUUCGGGCAGCCCUCCCUCAAGGCCCUCCGUAGGAGACUGUCAGACAAGAGGCAGAGUCGGUGGAUCGGACCUACGCAGAGCCAAAGUGGUGAGUCAAUGACUCCUAGACACACGCACACCCACCAGGCCAAGUUGCAGGCCGACGUAGGAGAGACGUGGAAUCGUUGAAUAAUGCGUUGAGUUGAUGAGUUCACGUUACGCACACGCACACACACAGACUUCGCUUGUUCUCUCUCAAAUAAUGCAAUAUCUUGGCAAGCGAUGUAAUCCAUAGCCACCUCUUCCCCCCUCCUACGUCUGUCUGUCUGUCUGCCUGUCUGUCUGACUGUCUGACUAUCUCUCUCACAGUCUCCUACCAUAGAGGGAAGGCUGGACUCCAACUUAACGACAACACAGACAAGAGACACUCCUACCCUGGUGAGGCACGCACACACACACACACACACACACACACACA